UACGUAGGGGGCUAGCGUUGUCCGGAAUCAUUGGGCGUAAAGAGCGCGUAGGCGGCCAGACAAGUCCGGUGUGAAAGUCACAGGCUCAACCUGUGAAUGCCGCUGGAAACUGUCUGGCUAGAGUCCGGAAGGGGCGAGUGGAAUUCCUGGUGUAGCUGUGAAAUGCGCAGAUAUCAGGAGGAACACCGGUGGCGAAGGCGGAUCUCUGGGCCUUACCUGACGCUCAGGUGCGAAAGCUAGGGGAGCGAACAGG
rnacentral:rRNA from 1 species